CCUACGGGUGACAGCAGUGGGGAAUAUUGCACAAUGGGGGAAACCCUGAUGCAGCGACGCCGCGUGAGUGAAGAAGUAUUUCGGUACGUAAAGCUCUCUCAGCAGGGAAGAAAAUGACGGUACCUGACUAACAAGCCCCGGCUAACUACGUGCCAGCAGCCGCGGUAAUACGUAGGGGGCAAGCGUUAUCCGGAUUUACUGGGUGUAAAGGGAGCGUAGACGGCAGCUCAAGUCUGGAGUGAAAUCCCAUGGCUUAACCAUGGAACUGCAUUGGAAACUGUGCAGCUAGAGUGCAGGAGAGGUAAGCGGAAUUCCUAGUGUAGCGGUGAAAUGCGUAGAUAUUAGGAGGAACACCAGUGGCGAAGGCGGCUUACUGGACUGUAACUGACGUUGAGGCUCGAAAGCGUGGGGAGCAAACAGGAUUAGAUACCCCGGUAGUC
rnacentral:rRNA from 1 species